GCUGUGUAUAAAAACAACAUGACGGACCGGCACGCGAUUGCAUCAUCCUAGCCGCCCGCGUUGAUCUCCUUGUUUUCGGUGGUUUUUGACAGAUUAAGUGCCUGAACGGACCCAUAAUCGUGUUCUGGAUGUUUCUAAAAGGAGGUGUCAUUUUCCUGGGCAAAGAAUGAAUUUUUGCCGAAUUUCCUGGAAUGCCCUUUUCCUGAUUGCACGAGCUUUGAUCUGACUUCGGACUCUCGCAGUUGGACGGUUUGAAUGAACAUCUUGGCCUGGCAAUCUUCAAUUAGGAUGCGCGUCAUUUCUCUAUAGAAAAGAGAAGAAUCUUUGCUGGUAUGUGUCGCUGCUGAGUUAUCGUCGAUCUUGGAGAUGGACCAAACUUGCAGCCUUGGCAUUUAGAUCUCUCAUGAGCAACAAGGGCAUCCUGAGAAGCUGCCAAAGAUAUGGUUCUUCUGCGUCGUUGGCAAAAUGUGAAUAGCAGAGGCCGGAAGAGCAAGAAAAUGAAAAAACAACUCAAUUCACCAGUCACUCAAGCCCUUAAUGUUUUAAGCCGCCAGUAUUUUGGAUGUUAUGUACUAUUUUAAUGGGUUUGUGGCCUUUGUGGGACCAAAAAAGCUGCUGCACGAUACGAUAACGUGAUAAUUUAAUUAUAAAUAUACUAUUGUGCCUUAAAUUAAAAUAGCAGCUCUCAAUUGAAGAAUAUUAUCCACCAUAUAUGUCAGUGUAAAUUGUAAAAAAGAAAACAGGAACUACUAUCAUGGGAAUUUUUAACUAAUAAUUAUUUAUUUAAAAGUAAUGUAAUUUCUAUUAAAUGGCUUUUUAGCGGGUGCCAUUAAUUUAAAAAUUUAUUUAUGUAUUGUAACGCUCGUCUUUGGAGUUAAUUGCUUUGAUUUACUUUAAGAGUGGCUCAAAGAGCCAACUGCCAGAUUUGUCUCUUGUCUUGGGCUGCUGUUGGGACUCUCGCGUGGGUGUUCCCGUAAUUUAACUUAACUCCUUUGGCCGGUCUGCAGCACCCAGAGCUGGUCACUCGCCUGGUUCGCUCGAAUAAUUAAGUGGUGUUUCGAAAUCUGCAACUGUCAGACGGACAGUGUUAUAAAUAUGA